AUUGAACGCUGGCGGCAGGCCUAACACAUGCAAGUCGAGCGAGAAAGCCCUUCGGGGUGAGUAGAGCGGCGGACGGGUGAGUAACGCGUAGGAAUCUACCUAGUAGUGGGGGACAACAGUCGGAAACGACUGCUAAUACCGCAUACGCCCUACGGGGGAAAGGCCGGGAUCUUCGGACCGGUCACUAUUAGAGGAGCCUGCGUAGGAUUAGCUAGUUGGUGGGGUAAAGGCCUACCAAGGCGACGAUCCUUAGCUGGUCUGAGAGGAUGAUCAGCCACACUGGAACUGAGACACGGUCCAG
rnacentral:rRNA from 1 species